AUUGGCUAUGCGCUUUGGCAGUGUGGUUAGCUGGUUGUGUGGCCAAUUGACAAAUCACAGCCACUAUCUUCACUGCCGCCGCGACAAGCUAUGA
rnacentral:pre_miRNA from 11 species